UGUUCUUUGCCGCCGGGUAAAGACAUUAAGCGCCGGACUUCAUAUCGUUAGGCCGUUGAAGAUAUGAAGACCCGGCGCUUUUAUUGU
rnacentral:ncRNA from 1 species